rnacentral:misc_RNA from 1 species
CAAAUCACCUGAAUGUCAAAAUCGUUCGUUUGAUACCACAUCUUGCUUCUCAAUGGAAGUGUAACAAACGCCUCCGGUGCCUGAGGACUCCGCCGAAGCAUGCACCGCCGGAGCCCCCUAUUGACUGUGAAUCACGAACUCUGUGAACUCUAUUGUGUUUUGGGGUCGCGCUGUGGCUCCGGAAACACGCCUGUAAUUGGACACCUAUUUUGCGGAUGCGGCCGGGUGCAGAACAAUAAGGAUUGGCGCGCCCGGGAAAAAUCAAUUGGGCCACUGCCAAAAUCUAGGGAAUGUAAUUGUGCUGAUGACGAAUGUACUGCACAUAUAGAGUAGUCUGGGAAAAGUCGUGAAGAAGGAAGGCCGAAUAAAUGUGUUGUGUUCUGUGAAGAAAAACCCACGAAGGUCUACGCUACAGAAACAUAAUAAGAUUGACUCACGUCUUUGGGAAAGAAAAAAAGUUAUGCAGUCAAGCUGGAAAAGGACCUAACAGUUUCAGUCAUGAAAUAGCCUUUGCAGUGUUCGCCAGCCCGUGCAUCUCAGCGAACAAGAUUCAUCUUGUCCCUGCCUUAACGCACACGGUCACUUACGAAAAAUGUAGUUUCACACGUACAUUAUUCUUAUUAUUGUAUCGGCGUAGUUGAAGUUGUACGGGGCUUCUCGUUGCUAUCGUCGUUUAGUUGCAUGUACUUCAGUUGGACUUUCUCUUCCUUACCCUCGAAGAAACUCACUGCGACUCCUUUGUCUUCGUCAAUUUGCAAAGCGAGAAUCAUGUACGCCAGAAUGUUGAGAGACAUCGAAGGCGCGCGUUUCCGCGCACAUUUGUGUAACUUGAACGCCGACCGUCAAAAAUCACGUGACUGAAAAUCCUUUGUUGGUCUUCUAUCCGGUUCGUGAGUGACUUCGUCACAAAGGCGGACGCGCCACGAUUCGCAGGCUCCCAUUGGACGAUCGCAGUAGUUGCCUGUUAACUUCCGUUUCCGUUCCAUGGUUCCACAUAAACGGCAAUCGUUGCAUGUAACUCUAGGUGCAGUGCAUGUGCAGUGGGCGUGGUUUAAACUGAAGUGACGUUACACUUACGAACCGGAUAGGGGGCCUAUCCGCUCCCAGUGGAGCAAAAGAGGGCGUGUUUUGGUUGGUUGGUUGGUUGGUUGAUUUAGAAGUCAAUGCUUCUAAAUUCAUAUGUAUUUGAAUUUAGAAGUCAUAAUAUGUAUUUGAAUUUAGAAGUCAUAAUAAAUACCAGUAAAUCUAGACAGAGUUAACCUUAGGGGCAUGUUCCAUAGACCGAUAGCCCUAUUGCGCUAAAAAGAAAUUCAUAAGUCAAAAUACAGGGAGUUUUAUUGGCAGACCUUGACUCGUAUCACUUCUGGAAGUGACCCAGGAAGUCUUCAGUUUUGACCGUUUGUGUCUGUUACGACAGCUGUAAAUUGCUUAUCUGGUUGAGCAUUAAAUGUAUGUUACUCAAUCCAUUUUAGUUGAAGCAAGAGCGGACAUGUUGGCAGUCAUAAUAAAAUAUGUACACCAUGAA